UACGUAGGGUGCAAGCGUUGUCCGGAAUCAUUGGGCGUAAAGCGCGUGUAGGCGGCUCGGUAAGUCCGCUCUGAAAGUCCAGGGCUCAACCCUGGGAUGCGGGUGGAUACUGCCGGGCUCGAGUCCGGAAGAGGCGAGUGGAAUUCCCGGUGUAGCGGUGAAAUGCGCAGAUAUCGGGAGGAACACCAAUGGCGAAGGCAGCUCGCUGGGACGUGACUGACGCUGAGACGCGAAAGCGUGGGGAGCGAACAGG
rnacentral:rRNA from 1 species